rnacentral:rRNA from 1 species
UUACCAGCUUGAAAUGAAGUAAUUUCCGCAAGGUACAGGUGCUGCAUGGCUGUCGUCAGCUCGUGUUGUGAAAUGUUGGGUUAAGUCUCGCAACGAGCGCAACCCUAUCUUAGUUGCCAGCAUAUGGGACUCUAGGAGACUGCCCGGGUUAACGGGAGGAAGGUGGGGAUGACGUCAAGUCCUCAUGGCCCUUAUGCUGGGCUACACACGUAAUACAAUGGCAUACAAGGGGCAACGCGAGUUUAGCAAUCUCAAAAUGAUCUCAGUCCGGAUUGGAGUCUGCAACCCGACUCCAUGAAGUUGGAAUCGCUAGUAAUCGGAAUCAGCACGUCCGGUGAAUACGUUCCCGGGCCUUGUACACACCGCCCGUCACACCAUGGGAGUUGUUUANUUAA